rnacentral:rRNA from 1 species
GUUGAACGCUGGCGGCAGGCUUAACACAUGCAAGUCGAGCGGAGAUGAGGUGCUUGCACCUUAUCUUAGCGGCGGACGGGUGAGUAAUGCUUAGGAAUCUGCCUAUUAGUGGGGGACAACAUUCCGAAAGGAAUGCUAAUACCGCAUACGUCCUACGGGAGAAAGCAGGGGAUCUUCGGACCUUGCGCUAAUAGAUGAGCCUAAGUCGGAUUAGCUAGUUGGGGGGGUAAAGGCCUACCAAGGCGACGAUCUGUAGCGGGUCUGAGAGGAUGAUCCGCCCAACUGGGACUGGGACACGGCCCAGACUCCGACGGGAGGCAGCAGUGGGGAAUAUUGGACAAUGGGGGGAACCCUGAUCCAGCCAUGCCGCGUGUGUGAAGAAGGCCUUAUGGUUGUAAAGCACUUUAAGCGAGGAGGAGGCUACUGAGACUAAUACCCUUGGAUUGUGGACGUUACUCGCAGAAUAAGCACCGGCUAACUCUGUGCCAGCCGCCGCCGUAA